rnacentral:lncRNA from 1 species
AAAAAUUAGUCAGGCCUGGUGGCACGCACCUGUAAUCCCAGCUACUCAGGAGGCUGAGGCUGGAGAAUCGCUUGAACCCAGGAGGCAGAGGUUGCAGUGAGCUGAGAUCGCACCAUAGCGCUCCAGCCUGGGUGACAAAAGGAAAACUCUGUCUCAAAAAGAAAGAAAGAAAAGCAGACUGGCUGAAAGGAUUGAAGAACAAAAUAUGAUCCACCAAUGUGCUAUCUACAAGAUAAACAUUUUAAAUACAGAAACAGAUUGAAAGUAAAGGGAUACAAAGAUACAAUUAAAAUAGUAACCAAAAAAGAGCUGAAGGGGCUGUACUAAUAUCAAAUG